rnacentral:rRNA from 1 species
GAUGAACGCUAGCUACAGGCUGAACACAUGCAAGUCGAGGGACCGGCGCACGGGUGAGUAACACGUAUCCAACCUGCCCUUUACUCGGGGAUAGCCUUUCGAAAGAAAGAUUAAUACCCGAUAUAAAGGAUGGGGAUGCGUUCCAUUAGGUUGUUGGUGAGGUAACGGCCCACCAAGCCUUCGAUGGAUAGGGGUUCUGAGAGGAAGGGCCCCCACAUUGGAACUGAGACCCGGUCCAAACUCCUACGGGAGGCAGCAGUUAGGAAUAUUGGGCAAUGGGCGUUAGCCUGAACCAGCCAAGUAGCGUGAAGGAUGAAGGCUUAUGCGUCGUAAACUACUUCUAUAUAUGAAUCAGUAUUAUAUGAAUAAGGACAGGCUAACUCCGCGCCAGCAGCCGCGGUAAUAC